UGCAGUUAUUAAGCAUGGAUAAAACAAAACAAUAGCAAGAUGAUCCUUGAAAAAAACACCUAGAUAUGCCACUGUGGUCCUUAUUCAUCCCAACAUAUUUUUCCUUCCUUUUAAGCUUUUAAGUCCAUGCUCAGUUCAGCUGGCCUUUCACUGUCGUGUGACUGCGGUCGUUCCGGGUUAUCUAUUCAGGCUGUAAAUUAGAAAUCCAGUUUUUUACUGCAGUUUUUUCCUUCUUACCACUGCUGACCACCCCACCAAACUAUUGCUCAUUCACUUCCCUCCCACGGGACAGGCACAGAAAAAAAGAAGAACCACAAACCAUACCAUUUUUGCCCCAUUCAGUAGCUCCAAAUGAACGCCUAGUCCAAUAAGGAUGGGGAGAGAAAUUGAGCCAAUGACUCAAGUGAUGCUUUAUAGUUAUAUGAGUAUUUGCUACAUGUGUGCUGCCCUCAAGUUCUCGUAGUCCCACAGAAAAUCUCAAGUUGAAGAUAGUGAUUGUAGUAUUGAGAUGAACUUGGGUCUUCGCAGCAAUUUCCAAGUGCCUGGUACAGUACUCCAUGCUGUAAGUACUCAAUAAACACUCACUGACUGAGCUGACAACAUAGUAUGUUAGUGCCACUAAAGGGAGUCCUAUCUAUCAACUAAAUUGGACAUCAUAUUUGCUCAGUGUGUCUGCUUUAAGCAUAUGUGAGGAAACUGCUAAAGAUCCGGCAUCUCCCGCAAAUGACUAAGAUGAAGCUCUGGUGUUAGACGCUGACAUGAGCACAGUCCUCAGGUACUCUCAAAUCAGAUUUCUCAGCCACCACCAGGAGCACUAAUUUGUCACCUUGUGAAGAUGCUUUGGGUGAUCUUGGAAGCACCUGGUGUCUGACUGUCUCUACGCCUCUCUCUCUCUCAACUUUACGCUUUGUAACCUGGUAACCACAGAGGCACUGGACCAUAACAUCCUCGCAUCUCUGGUUAAGAACAAGCAGAAGCACAGAGAUCAAGAACAACUGUUCCACCUCCCCUUCUUCUCCAUCCAUCCACCUCCAUUGUGCAUCCUUUUUUUAGAAAGAGUGAUUAUGAUGACAGGCUGGUUGGUGCCCUUACAGGACUACUUUCAGCAACUUGCCUGGACACUCAGGGCCUUAGGUGGGGCUAAGAAAUCUUUUUUUUUUUUUUUUUUCCUGUUGUGUUAACGAUUCAUGGGGUGGCAAAGAGUCAGACAGGACUGAGACUGAACUGAACUGAACCACCUCUUUCAACAAUGUAUCAGAUUCAAUAUAAGGGCUAUUGGUUACAUAGAUAAAUGCAGAGUAUGCUUUUCCUUCUGCCUGGAUUUUCUUUCCUGUGCCCUUAAGAGCAAGUGGUAAGGAUCCUUUUUCUUCCUUUUACCUUAUGAUGUCUGAAACUAUGUCCCUCAAUGAUUAUGACAUUACCAGCCUUGCUGCAUUAUCCUUUUACUGUAACCAAAUACCAGUCAAGACUGUUUCGAUUUUCCAUACAAUUUAAUGGUCCUUUUAGUUGUUGUGUCUUUCAGUAGCUCUGGAGGUUUAGCUGCUUCAGUGUCUCCAUUUAAAAUGUGGAGAGACUGCAGUAUAACUUGAGAUCCUUUUCUUUUCUCCACCGUGAACAUGGCAAUUCCAAUUUUUUUUUCACAAUCCUACAGAGCCUCUUAUGGCCUUAGAAGAAGGUGAGAGAAGGCAUUGUAUCUUCUGGUUCAAUCCACCCUCAUUUCCUGAGGUAAAUUAUAGAAAUUUUUUCAUUAAAUGUUGUGGCUCAGACUUGACAACAUUUAUUUUUAUUCCUAGCCCUCAUGUGCUCCAAAGAAGCUUGCAUUUGGCUUCAAAUAACAAAGAAACUGAUUAAGAAAGACUGUUUAUUUAUUUAUGGCUGCACCAUGCUGCUUGUGGGAUCUUAGUUCCCCAACCACAGAUUGAACCUGGGCCCUUAGCAGUGGAAGUAUGGAGUACUAACCACUGGACCACCAGCGAAAUCCCAAGAAAGACUUUUUUUAAAUGUUUGCUUUUUAAAAAUUAUUUGGUUUUGUUUUGCUUUUGUUUAUCUGUCUGUUUCUCACAUAAAAAGUAUAUGGGUGGGUGGCUGCUAGUAUUGGUUCUGCAGUUCAGUGAGCUUUUUGAUUAUCUUGGUCUUUUCCCCUUGUAUUUUUGCCUCGGAGAAACAAGGUAGCUGCUACAGCUUUAACUACCACGUCUGCAUUUAGGCAGGAAGGAGAAAAACAAAGGGAAACACAAACUUUUAAGUGUGGAGAACCCUGACAGUCACGUCUGUCUCUUUUUAUUAGGAAAAGCCAAAGCUUUAUUUGAAGCCCCACCUAGCCAACUUCCACUUAGUUAUUAGGUAGAACUGUCAUGCCAUCAGCCCUAGCAUGGCUGGCAAAGAAGUUGAGGGUCAUAGCAAGGAAUUGGCUCAUCCAGUCAACAACUCUGCUGCAGACCCUACCUCCUGCUUGACUUUUCACAUCUGCUUUGGGAUUUUUAUAAAUCUCCAUAUUUCAUAUGCUCGGUUUAUUUUUAAAAAACAGCUUUAUUGAGAUAUUCAUAUAAUGUAUAAUUUGCCCAUUUAAAGUAUAUAAUUCAGAAUUUUUUUUCCCAUUUACUUUUUAAAAUGCCCACAGCUUCUGGAUGUAUCUAAAAUAGUAAAUAUGAUAAUUUUACUUUAUAUUAUUCUCAGUUUCAGAAAUGUUCUGUAAAUAAAAAGCCUAUGUGUGCUUACUGGGUAAUUCUU